UGCAGGAUUGCGACCUGUAGAGAACGUAGCUGCUGUUUGCAUUGACCUCUCUCUCUCUCUCUCUCUCUGCCUGUCUACACUAAGCUGUGAUUCUAGGAUCACUGUGGUGUGGCAUGAGAAAAUACUACUCAGCAGCUUAGACUGUCAAUGUUUCAUCUCCAGGGUACUGUACCCAGGUUACCCCCCGAUGGAAAAAUGAUGUAGCUUAUUCCCUGAAAGGCCUAUUCUAUUCUGUUUUGCUCUGUCUGGACCGGAAACGUUAGGACCCGGAUACAGCUCGUAAAUUCAGGCUGGGCUGGGAGUUUGUGUACACCAAGGUGCCUGUUAAAAGGUUGCUAUUAAUGGGGUUUGUCUGAAACACCAAUAUAAAAGGGAAGAUAUUUACCCGAUUCUUCUGGCUUUAACGGACACCUUUCGUAGAAACGAGCCAAUUGUGUCCAUUCCAGUGCCUCACUUCAGCGAGCAUUAUAAACCCAGUCAAUUUUCACCGUCCAAAUGGCAUCGAUUCAACAAGUCGUAUUAAACUCUCGGCCAGGGAAGAAUGGAGAGCCAGUUGCUGAGAAUUUUAAGGUGGAAGAGAGUUACCUGCCUCAGGAUUUGCAAGAGGGGCAAGUGAAGGUUUGCACCAAAUUCCUGUCUGUGGAUCCUUACAUGCGAUGCAGGAUGAAUGAAGACACUGGUGCAGAUUACCUGCUUCCGUGGCAAGUGUCGAGUGUGGUGACUGGUGGAGGAGUGGGUCUGGUUGAAGACAGUAAACACCAGAACUUUCGCAAAUGUGACGUUGUGACUUCGUUCAGCUGGCCCUGGCAGACACGAGCCGUUGUGGAUGGGGCUGUCCUGACUAAGAUUGACCCUGAGCUCAUUGACGGGCACCUCUCCUACAUGCUGGGUGCUGUGGGAAUGCCUGGCCUCACCGCUUUGCUGGGGGUGAGAGAGAAAGGUCACGUGACACCCGGAGCCAAUCAAACGAUGGUUGUCAGCGGUGCAGCAGGAGCCUGUGGGAUGUUGGCGGGUCAGAUUGGUCGGCUCGAAGGGUGCUCCCGAGUUGUUGGGAUCUGCGGCUCUGAUGAGAAAUGUCAGAUCUUGGUCAGCGAGAUUGGUUUUGACGCAGCCAUCAACUACAAGAAGGAUAACGUGGCGGAGAAGCUCCGGGAAUACUGUCCAGCCGGAGUGGACGCUUACUUUGAUAAUGUUGGUGGGGAUAUCAGCAACACCGUUAUAAAUCAGAUGAAUCCGAACAGUCACAUCAUUCUUUGUGGACAGAUCUCCCAGUACAAUAAAGAUGUGCCUUACCCCCCUCCGCUGCCACCUCCCAUAGAUGUGAUCCUAAAGGAGAGGAAUAUCAAAAGAGAGAGAUUCCUGGUGCUGAAUUAUACAGAGAAGUUUGAGGUGGGCACGAUGCAGUUGAGUCGGUGGCUGAAGGAGGGUAAACUGAAGGUUCGUGAGACAGUGGUGAAAGGACUGGAAAACAUUGGAGCUGCCUUUGAGUCCAUGAUGAAAGGAGGAAACAUCGGGAAACAGAUUGUCCUGGUCUCUGAUGGGUAAUGAAAGUGUGCAGUCACCCUGAGGGAUCCAGCACCUGACAUGUUGAAGGACACCAACAACUUUUGUUGCAAUUGUGGUUGGCAAUGCCACGUUGGCCUGAUUUCUAAUGAAAUAAAGAAUGAGGGGUGUUCCUGGCUAGACAGCAUUUAUUGCCCAUUUCUAAUUGCUAGAGGGCAAUUAAGAGUCAACCACAUUGCUGUGGGCCUAAUCAGUUUGUUCAACAGGAUCCUCAGACAAACAGACUCAUGGCAGGACGCAACAGUGAGAAAGAGGUACAUAUGUUACCUCUGCUCGGACUUCAAUGUAGUGUAUUCCUUCUGUGUAAUCCUCGGGUUUCCAGGCUAUCGAGAAGAAUGGGCCUUCAAUGUGAACCGCACUGCCUAUACUGAUACCAUCGAUACUGAUCUGGACUGAGGUGACUUGUGACGGAGAGAAGACUAAAACCCUAAUGAGGAAACAUAAAUCACAUUAUUAAUCGCACAUGACCUACAAACUUAAUUAAAUCACCUGAGGAGAUGACUGUAUUUUACACUAACUAAUCGAAUUUUCAAGAAUCCACUUAAAAGUUCAAAACCGGUGAUAAGGAUGCGGACGUAGCCAAAAAAAAGGUUCCACCGCCGGAUUGGUAAGAAAGACAACUGGCGAUGGUUUAACCUGAAGGUCAUCACACCUUAGGUAAGGGGAGAGGUUGAGAAGAAGAAUCUUUCAUGGUAACCUCAGUUGGUGCAGGAAUCGAAUCUGUGCUGUGUGUUGUUGGCGUCCCUGUGUCUCACAAAUCAAUCAUCCUGCCAACUGAGCUAACUGACUCCCUUAUUUGAAAAGGAACAUGGAACAUGAGUCACUGGACUGAUGCAAGAGAAUAAAUCAGUGUUGUGA